AAAUUGUAAGUGCGCAGGAAAAUGGUAAUAAAUAUGUGUAGUGCAUUAGAGCAGAUGUUUAGCAAAUUUCAAUUUUGUACUAUUUCAUGAGCAACACUGACAAACGCACAAAAGGCAACAAAAUAAGAUAGUUGAUACAACUAUUGCAAGUAAAAUAUAACCAUAUAUAUAUAUAUAUAUAUAUAUAGCCUAGUAUUUGUGUGCAUUAUAACAACAAUCAAAGGAAGAUAGCAUAACUGUGUGCUGACCAUAUAGGAUUAUUUUUUUCCACCACAUCCAACCAGCAUCUAUUAGGCAUAGAUACGUCUGGACAAUGUAGAGAAAGCAUCAGGAAGUAAUAUGAAUUGAACUAGGAUGAAGAGAUUGAAGUUAGGAAUCAACUCUCUCCUAUUACUAAAAUUCUCAUAAAGUUGCACUUAAAAUUAUGUCUUGGUUGAUCCGCUUCACGGUGCACUAAAUGGGACAAAAAAUUAGAAGUUCACCUCAGUAUAUUCUUAGUGAAAUAAAUUUCCCACAAGAUACUAACUUAACAAAAUGACUUCAAUGAUGCCCAGAAUUUGCACGAAAGUAGUAGUAUAGCUAACGAAGGCAAAUUACAUGAGACUUUCAUUUCAUGAGCAAUCAGUAAACCCAUCCAACAUACAUUUGAGAGCUUAAAUAAGCUAAGCUAAUAAUUAACUAGACAAACAACAAACAACUAAACCUGGUAUAUUCAAUGGAAUAAAUACACAUAAUGGAAUUGAAGUGCACCUUUGAGAAUUUCCUUUUAAAAAUUGAUUCAAAACCUUCAGCAACGAGACAGAUAAAGAUGUAAUAUAGAAAAAGGUUUCAAAGUUAUGAGUCCCAAAUUUCUACAUCAUUUUAAACUAAAAACUCUUUCCUUUUCAAGCCAAUCAGUGAGCAAAUAGCUAAUGUUCAGUAGAAUUCCUGAUUCAUAUGGAGAAGAAAGGCCAACCACUUUCCAAUGCCACAAAUUCUGUCCAGAAAAUUAAAAGGAAACCGAUGUAGCAACCCUACAACAACAUAUCUACUUAAGUUUCUAGCAUUAUUCUAGUCAUCAGUGUAUAUAUUUAUUAAAACUUUUAAUGUGUGAUGUAAAAAUACAUCAAUAGAGGAAUUCCCCAUGCAAGCUGCAGAACCAGAUUUCAUGCUUAGUGUUCACAUAUGAGCAGAACUAUGUUUAAGAUUUGGGCUCACAUGAAUUUGGCCAUAUAGAGGUCAGAUUUACUUAGAGCAUGCUAUACACAUGUAAAAACUAUGCUAUCACACAAACUCACUCCACAACCCAAAAUGUUAAUCAAGUUUCCAUCUAGCCAAAGGAGGUAAGGAAAAAGAACUAACUACUACCAGCUUUAACUUUAGACAUUAAUACAAAUUCAAAACUUAAAACAUAAGCUACUCAAACAUGUGCUACUGCACAUUUUUUACAUUUAAGAAAAAGGGGAAAGGGAGGAGAAGAAAGAAACUAAAUAGACUAAAUAAGGAUGUAAAAAUCAGGAUUCAAACAUCAGGCAGUCUUUAUUGAUUUUCAAUAAAAAAGAACAACAUCUUUCACAUAGAACAUAUUCAAACUGCAAGGAUAAAACAAUGGUUCAAUUGAGUACCUGGAUAUCAAAACAAAGAGAGAAUUCCAAAAUGAAGUAACAACAGCAACAACUCUUGAAGCAGCAGUGAAUAGCCAACUUUAAACAGUUGAACUCAUCAUUUAAACACAGGAAGAGAAUGAUGAAUUCAACUUUCAAGAAAGAGAAUCAGAAUAUGAAGACCAAGAUGCAAUGGAACAGUGACUGCCAACUUUUCUUCUUCUCUUACUAAUUUUUCGGUUAUACUAAUGUAGAUCUAUAUCUUAGCUACUUUUGAACUUUUAAACCUCUAAUUCCCAAAGAAAAUUUCCAAAAUCUAAAAGAGGAAUCAAAUUUCUUCAUAAAACUUUUCAAAAGCUUUUUGUUUUUCAGUCGUUUACCUCUCUCUCUCUCCCUUUUGUGUGAGUUCGAAAAGGGAAUAUGCUGCCCUAAAUUUUAAAUUUCCCUAGUAGUACAGUCCUUUGCUACAGUUGUCCAUCCUUUUCCCCCCAAUAUCAAAAUUUUCAUCACAAGGAUAAGGAAAACUGUACACAAUCCAGAACAUUCUGAUAUUUACCCCAUCUAAAAUCCCACUUUUAACCUUUCAAACACUGAUUAUUGCAACUUUACCUAUCAUAUCCUAAACUAUGACGGUUUUAUUACCUCAAAGCCCCUCUCCUGAAAAGCUUUCUAGAAUCUACCCCAGAAUUAAAUCCCAAUCAACCCCUUAAAGUCACUAAAAUUAAUCUUUCAAACUCCCUUUUAAAACAAAUGACAGUCAAAACUCCUAUUUCAAACAAUUGAAAACAAAUCAGAGAAAGAUUAAACAAAACCAAUUGAAAGAAAUAGAAACAUAAAUCGAACCUUAGUUAACCUACCAAGCGAAACAAGAACAUAUUGAAUGAACUAAGGCUAAAUAAAUGAUUAAUUAAUAAAAUAGCCAAAACUCUAAUUUAACUUAAGGAAUAACCAACAAACAAAAAGAGCAGAGAUUUGAGCUAUUGACUAGUAAUGAAUCUUCAUAGAAAAGGAAGAAGUGGAUACCAAUUAGACCUCAGAAUUUACGAGAAUGAUGACGACUUCAAUUCGAACUCCGACGGGCAAGAAUCUCGUCCAAUUGGUGAGAAUUGCAACAUGAAUACUAGCCGGACUUUCAUCUACCGCUAGUGCUUCAUGGCACAAUCCUCAAAAUACGCCAAGAAAGAGAAAAGGCAGAGGUUUCAAACUAUUUUGGAUAAUUAGUGAUUAUUUGCUCGGAAUCCGGCAAAUCUGUGAGAUAGGAUGAUCUUCAAAAUUGAAAUGGCCUUCUUCAAUGAAGAACUGGGGAAUUCGUGUAGUUUUCAUCAUGAAUUGAGGACCAAAUUAAGAAAAUUAUAGCAAAGGAAAAAUGUUCGGAUUUUUAUUUCUUAGAUCUUAAAUUUGGAGAAACUAGGUGGCCUUUUUGAGAAAUCAAUGGCGGAAUAUGAAUAGGGAGAUGAUAAGGGUUGCAUGGUUAAAAGCUGGAUGGGUCUGAAGGUGCUCCGCCGCCAUGAGACGAUUUUCGGGUGGCGGAGAUACGACGGAGAUAGACGGCGAUUUUGGAGAAGAGAGAGACCUAGGUUUCUUGUCUAUUUUGUUUAAACGGGUUAAUGAAGAUAUAGGGAAGGUCUGGGUCGUUUG
rnacentral:lncRNA from 1 species